UACGGGGGGGGCAAGCGUUGUUCGGAAUUACUGGGCGUAAAGGGCUCGUAGGCGGCCAACUAAGUCAGACGUGAAAUCCCUCGGCUUAACCGGGGAACUGCGUCUGAUACUGGAUGGCUGGAGUUUGGGAGAGGGAUGCGGAAUUCCAGGUGUAGCGGUGAAGUGCGUAGAUAUCUGGAGGAACACCGGUGGCGAAGGCGGCAUCCUGGACCAAUACUGACGCUGAGGAGCGAAAGCCAGGGGAGCAAACGGG
rnacentral:rRNA from 1 species